CAAACCUAAAGCACUCUGUUUUCCACCGCCGCCCCUUGCUUCUUCAAGUUCCGAUCCCUUUCUUCCCUCUUUUACAGUCGGUCGCCAUUUUUUGGGGAGAUUGAUUAUUCCGGUUUUCAACGGCCUAGGCGCGACGCUUAGUGAACGAGUGUCUUGCCGUCGAGCCUAGCUGCUGCUUUGCUUCACAAAGCUCGUCUUUCAAAUUCUGCGCAUUGACCCACGACUUCUAAGAAGGAAGAAGGAGAAUUAAGGUGAUCAAUUUGCUUAAACCAUAAUGGAAGCAAAAAUUUUCCGCUUUCUAAAGAUAGUGGGUGUUGGAUACAAA
rnacentral:misc_RNA from 1 species